CAGUAGCCGCGGGAAUACGUAGGUGGCAAGCGUUGUCCGGAAUUAUUGGGCGUAAAGGGCUCGCAGGCGGUUUCUUAAGUCUGAUGUGAAAGCCCCCGGCUCAACCGGGGAGGGUCAUUGGAAACUGGGAAACUUGAGUGCAGAAGAGGAGAGUGGAAUUCCACGUGUAGCGGUGAAAUGCGUAGAGAUGUGGAGGAACACCAGUGGCGAAGGCGACUCUCUGGUCUGUAACUGACGCUGAGGAGCGAAAGCGCGGGGAGCGAACAGGAUUAGAUACCCGUGUAGUCCCUGUCUCUUAUAC
rnacentral:rRNA from 1 species